rnacentral:lncRNA from 1 species
GACAUGUCUAUGCACUGUAAAUGCUUUAAUUUGAGUGCAAAUAAUGAAUAACAGUACUCUUUCUGGGCUAACCCACUUGCUGUCGUGGUACUGAAGAUGACUUGACUGGACCCAAGGCCAAACUAGUCACAGGCUUCAAAAUCUGGGUCUCCUCUUUGUUUUUCUCCACUUCUGGGGAGGUUGGCAUCCUAGCAUGGUUUUUGGCUUGGUCCAUCCUUUGGAAAAUACUGACUAAACUUCAGCAUGGCUUUAACAUGACCAGUGUUCUUGAAGGAACGUCUGAAACAGCCCAUCAUGAGAAAUAACAGUGCCUCAAAUAUAGAUUUUUAUUUUCUUAAGUGAAACAAAUUUUUAUUUAACACCCCAUUUGUCUUACAGUACUUCAACAUACAAUACAUUGUAUCAAAGCCAACCUGCCAACAAAAACCUGUGUUGCCUUCUUGGUAAAGUGACAAGGCUAUAGCAAAAGAAAAGACAAAAUAGCCUAUUUUUCUGGAAACAAACUGGAAUAUUACUGUUUGUUUUAGUCCAACUGCGAUCACAAUCAAGACCCCUGUAUGGUACAACUAGAUGAGCAAGUCCUAACAAAAAACACACAGCUACUUUUUAGUCACUAUGGCAGCAAACUUUUUUAAAAAUACAUUAUUUUCUAGCCAUUAGAGUGAUGAACAAGUGGCUUGUUGCUUUAGGAAUGGAUGGAAAGAGAAAGAGCUUUUUCUGAAUCACAUGGCAGUGACCAUUUUCAUGACCUGGGAAAUGCUACUGGUUCAGUUAAAGCAGCUCUGCCCGCCAUGGUGGAAAGGGCUUGUAUUUUUAUUACUAUUAGUUGAGCUGUUCCCUCACCUCGUGUGCCCAAGCCCUCAACUCGGCGCACAAAGAGGUCAAGCAGACUUUUGGACCACCAAGGGAACACUGCAAGUCUGCUGGCCACCCGCCGGGCUGACAAUUACAUCUGACAAAAGGCACCUUACAUGCACAGCGACGCUAGGAAUGGCCUAACCAGUAGGAAGGACUGUGCAGCAUGAGCUAACAGCUAUUGAAGAGGUUUGAGGGUAAAAAACCAUGGCAUAGGUGCCAAGUCACACUGGUUAUAGUGCAGCUGGUAGUGCAAUUUUAAAACUGUAUAAACAGCAUCACUAGUUUUAGCAAUCUCUAUCCUACCUACAACUAUGUUGUACUGAAUGAUGCACAUUCAUUUAUCACCUAUGACUGAACUUCCCAGAAAAACAAAACAAUUUCAUGGAAAUGGUUACAGAAAAAAGCAACACAGAUAUGUGAAAUGACACAUCAGUACUCACUCACUUAACCACACUGCUUCCUGUUCAUGAAUGAACUGCUCAAAGUUCAAAAAGCACUUCUAAAAACUUCCAAGUUACAAUCUGAAAGGAAAGUCCCCCCCCAGGAAGUAGCUGAGUAAUUCUGGGUCAGAUGCUCUGCACCUGCCAGACUCCCUGCCAGCACUUCUGCUUAACUCCUGCUAUGCAUGGCAGCUACCCUGCCACAGAACUGU